GGACCCGCACAAGCGGUGGAUUAUGUGGAUUAAUUCGAUGCAACGCGAAAAACCUUACCUACCCUUGACAUGCUAGGAAGUCCGCAGAGAUGUGGAUGUGCCCGAAAGGGAACCUAGACACAGGUGCUGCAUGGCUGUCGUCAGCUCGUGUCGUGAGAUGUUGGGUUAAGUCCCGCAACGAGCGCAACCCUUGUCGUUAAUUGCCAUCAUUUAGUUGGGCACUUUAACGAGACCGCCGGUGACAAACCGGAGGAAGGUGGGGAUGACGUCAAGUCCUCAUGGCCCUUAUGGGUAGGGCUUCACACGUAAUACAAUGGUCGGUACAGAGGGCUGCCAACCCGCGAGGGGGAGCUAAUCCCAGAAAGCCGAUCGUAGUCCGGAUUGUAGUCUGCAACUCGACUGCAUGAAGCCGGAAUCGCUAGUAAUCGCGGAUCAGCAUGUCGCGGUGAAUACGUUCCCGGGUCUU
rnacentral:rRNA from 1 species